AUAUAUUAACUGACCCGCCCAACCUCUGAUUCUCCUUCUCCUAUGCGUACCACACACAACAGCAUCGACUUUCAACAAGAACAGAAAAACAACGCAACAGCUUGGACCAAAACAGCCAAAAAUCGUAUCAACACCGACAACGCCGGCAACUGGCAGAAGCAGCCGAACCCUGCGACCCAUUCUAACGCACCGAUCCGAACCCAACAACGAACCUGACUUCGGUGACCCAAAACCCGAUAAUAGUUUCGACCCAAUUGAAAAUUCAAAUUCCAAAUUCAAAAUUUGUACUAAUUAGUACAAAUUCGUACAAGACGGCUAAUCCCUUAUCAACAACCGUCCAAUUCAAAAUUCCCCUUGGAAAUUCUCAAAUUGCCCAUGAAUUUUAUUCUCCCACAUCGAUUGGAGCUUGCAAUGAAACUCCCAAUCUCGUCUAUAAAAAGCUCUCUUUGGAGCAAAAAAUACCGAAGUCUCGGAAGUUGAAAAACCUUUGAGCAAAAUCACAGUCUAUUUUUUUUUAGUAAAAAAUUUAUUCCGUGAAAUUCGUCGGCUAAUCGAAGUUCCCGAGUUGACGACGAUGCUUUUCGGCAGUGGUUGAUUCUCGUGAUUCUGCCUCGUUUGAGUUGACGACGAUGCUUUUCGGCAGUGGUUGAUUCUCGUGAUUCUGCCUCGUUUUUGUUUUCGUAGUAGUAAUUUGGUUUUCUCUUUUAUGCUGGGAUUUAUUCGCUGUAGAGGCCUUGAAGGUCGUAGGUUUGAUUGUGAUGAUGUUUUGUUGCGAUAUUCCUGUAAUUUAAACCACAUUCUGUGUUAAAUGUUUGUUUUCUGUGUGUUUAUAUAUUUUGAUGAAAUAUGAGCUUUUAAACGUAUCUUUUCCCUUCAUCUUGCUCUACAAAUGUAAAUAAUGGGUCGAUAGAAAACUGACUGGGUCAAGCUCUGUACCAUGUCUUGUUUGGCAACUUGAAUUGAUAAUCGCAUCUUGAUGAAAUCUUGCACAGUGUAUGUUCUUGAUUUGUUUCAUUCACAGUUGUUUUGGCUUUCUCUGGAUAUGAUGUUGUUCAUAUACUAUUGGCAUUCAUCUAUUCGAAACAGUAGCCUAGUACAGUGUAAGUUUUAUAUCCUCUCUGGUUGACAUUUUGCAAAAGACUUUUCGAGUACUACGCAUGUUUAGCCUAGCUUAGCUUGUCCUUUCUGUUUUCUAGAUAAAGGGGACUCGUCACAAUGUUUUCUUUGACUAAUAAUGUCAAAAGGAAACAAGGGAGUUCAUUCCCCAAAUGAAUGUUAAGCUAUUUUUUUUUCAUUCUUGUAUAUUUUCGCUACUCCCCAUUUUUCUCCUUUUGCUGUUUCUGAUUGGAGUAUGAGCCCAUUUCCUAAACAUACCCCUUUCCCUUUUUUUUACAUAUGAGGUGCAGUCAUGUCUAGUUCUUUUUGGGUUAUGUUUGAAGGGUGUUAGUCACAAGAUUCCGUCGAUAAAUAAUAUUGAGAGGGUCAGUAGGUUGGUGAGAAAAUAAUAGUCCAAGGAAUUCCCUCGAAGAACCUCCGGUUCAUAGUUUUCGUGACUCAGUAAAGAGAGAAUGAGGAUGAAACUUUUGAAAUUUUUUGGGGUGUGUUUUCCUUUUGUUUUGUUGGUUAUCCGUCUGUCAAUUGAAUGAGAAAGAAUGGAUGAACGUAACUGUAACGCCUAUUCAUGUUGUUUAGUGUUGUGUUGUUAAGAAAGAUUGAUUGAAUUGUGUUUGAAGUCUUGGUGAUUUCCUUCAAAUCCUGUAUGCUGUUUUCUUUGUUUUAUUUAUUCUGGAUCAUUUUGCUCAUCAAGUUCAUGCCUCAAAAUUGUUAUUCAAUCAAUCAAUAUAUAUAUAUAUAUAAAGCUGAAACAUAGACACGCUGAUGUGGCGCUCUCUAUGAUCAGCAAUUCUAUUUAUCUGUUUUCUCAAUUUUUUGAACUUAUUUCACUAUUUUAUGUUUAAAAAAUUUCCAGAAAAUUAAUUACUUUUACAGUUUCUCUUUCCUCAUUAUUGUUGCAAUUUAUUUCUUUUUUUCAAAACUCUUUCUUUGCCUUCUUUAUCUUCCGUUUCCUUUUUGUAAAAUUAAUACACAUUUAAUUAAAUGAAAAAUGAAAAGACCAAAAAACCUUUCAUUUUUUAAAACUAUUAAAUCUUUAGCAUAUAAACUGAGAUGAUGGUGUAGUAACAAGCAUGGUGUCGCCAAAAACACCAAGAUUCUCGCAAAGACGAUGAAGAUGGAAGCGAGGCUUAGCUACAGCACUCUCGUUUAUCUCCGGGCAUAUCUCAGAGGCUGAUCCAUUAUCAAGGGUUUGAUGCCGAGAAAUUGAAAUUGAGUUGCCCACACCAAAAUCAAAUGUGUGACCAGGUUUGCUGGUCUCAGGUUCUUCCUCGAUCUCUCUGAAUUCUCUUGAAGGACUUCUCUUAUCAAACUGGUCUUCUUCAGGAAUCUCCUUUAAGUGAUCCAAUUCUUGAGAUACUGAACCGAACAGCUGCAUCGAAUGAUAGCACAUGGUUGUCUUCAUGGCACGCGGGAUUCAACUCUCUGUCAUACAUUGGGCUGCUUGACAUCUUUGAAGGCUUCGGAGAGAGCUUUUUAUUAUUCUUACUGCCAGCAAACCAAUAUAUAUAUGUAAUACUCCCUACUAAACAUAGCUUAGUGGCUGCCAAAAAAAAGAAAAAAAUGAUUCUAGUAUUUUGCUCCUCUUGUGAUGUCGUUAAAAAAUAGAAAGAGAUACUAUCUUAUGAUCCUAAAAAUCUUGUGUGUAAUGAAAAAGAUUGUAAUCAUUAAGGAUGUGGUGCAGUAGAUAGAUUUCAAUUUAUGAUCUGGAUAAUUUGAUAGUGAGCACUAUCAUUGAACGACCCA